CACCCUCGAUUCUCCCUCUCUUUCGGACCUCCGGUGAUUUCAGCAGCGAUCAGCCGCUGCCCCCACCUUCUAUUUGUGCAGAAUCCGACGGCCGCCGCAGCUGAAGCUAGCCACCGUCGAUCCGCCCCUCUCCCUUGAAUCUCCGGCCACCGCCCGUAGAUCAGGCGACGCCACUUCUGACUCUCUCGACUCCGGCAGUAGCAGCUUUCGUAGCCACCACCACCGCCGUCGUCCUCCGCCGAACAGCCCCGCUGUCUAGCCGCUCACCACCAUCUCAGCCCCGACCAUCUCUCUCAAACCUUUUUCCCUCGCUCGUUCUUCUCUGUUAACGGAAACAGGACAGCAGACGCCCCGCCGUGGUUGGAGUCAACGGCGGGUCUGCCGCCGCCACGCCAUCACCGGCGAGCUUCCCGGGCCGCCGACUUCUGCCCUCGACACUCACACACAUACACAUGGGCUUAGCACAAAAAUUUAACCACAAUUAAAAGUAGGAUUAGGGCAGAUUUGUAUUACUAAACUGUAAAUUGUUUAAUGACAAUUUCUUAUUAAAGCUUCUAGAUCUGUAAAUUAUUAUUCUUCCUUCA